rnacentral:rRNA from 1 species
ACCUUACCUGGUCUUGACAUCCACGGAAGUUUUCAGAGAUGAGAAUGUGCCUUCGGGAACCGUGAGACAGGUGCUGCAUGGCUGUCGUCAGCUCGUGUUGUGAAAUGUUGGGUUAAGUCCCGCAACGAGCGCAACCCUUAUCCUUUGUUGCCAGCGGUUAGGCCGGGAACUCAAAGGAGACUGCCAGUGAUAAACUGGAGGAAGGUGGGGAUGACGUCAAGUCAUCAUGGCCCUUACGACCAGGGCUACACACGUGCUACAAUGGCGCAUACAAAGAGAAGCGACCUCGCGAGAGCAAGCGGACCUCAUAAAGUGCGUCGUAGUCCGGAUUGGAGUCUGCAACUGGACUCCAUGAAGUCGGAAUCGCUAGUAAUCGUGGAUCAGAAUGCCACGGUGAAUACGUUCCCGGGCCUUGUACACACCGCCCGUCACACCAUGGGAGUGGGUUGCAAAAGAAGUAGGUAGCUUAACCUUCGGGAGGGCGCUUACCACUUUGUGAUUCAUGACUGGGGUGAAGUCGUAACAAGGUAACCGUAGGGGAACCUGCGGUUGGAUCACCUCCUUACCUUAAAGAAGC